rnacentral:rRNA from 1 species
GACGAACGCUGGCGGUGUGCUUAACACAUGCAAGUCGAACGAAGAGCGAUGAAAGCUUGCUUCUAUCAAUCUUAGUGGCGCACGGGUGAGUGACGCGCAAUCAACUUGCCUUUCAGAGGGGGACAAAAGUUGGAAACGACUGCUAAUACCGCCUACGAACUUAUCUCGGAAUCGAGGAGAGAUGAAAGCUGGCCUCGACAUGUUAGCUAUCUCUGGAGGAGGGGAUUGCGUCUGAUUAGCUAGUUGGAGGGGUAACGGCCCACCAAGGCGAUGAUCAGUAGCCUGUCUGAGAGGAUGAACGGCCACAUUGGGACUGAGACACGGCCCAGACUCCUACGGGAGGCAGCAGUGGGGAAUCUUCCGCAAUGGACGAAAGUCUGACGGAGCAACGCCGCGUGAGUGAUGACGGCCUUCGGGUUGUAAAGCUCUGUUAAUCGGGACGAAAGGCCUUCUUGCGAAUAGUGAGAAGGAUUGACGGUACCGGAAUAGAAAGCCACGGCUAACUACGUG